UACAGAGGGUGCGAGCGUUGUCCGGAAUUAUUGGGCGUAAAGCGCGCGCAGGCGGUCCUUUAAGUCUGAUGUGAAAGCCCACGGCUCAACCGUGGAGGGUCAUUGGAAACUGGGGGACUUGAGUACAGAAGAGAAGAGUGGAAUUCCACGUGUAGCGGUGAAAUGCGUAGAGAUGUGGAGGAACACCAGUGGCGAAGGCGACUCUUUGGUCUGUAACUGACGCUGAGGCGCGAAAGCGUGGGGAGCAAACAGG
rnacentral:rRNA from 1 species